UACGGAGGAUGCAAGCGUUAUCCGGAAUGAUUGGGCGUAAAGCGUCCGCAGGUGGCUGUGUAAGUCUGCUGUUAAAGAGUGAGGCUCAACCUCAUAAAGGCAGUGGAAACUACAUGGCUAGAGUGCGUUCGGGGCAGAGGGAAUUCCUGGUGUAGCGGUGAAAUGCGUAGAGAUCAGGAAGAACACCGGUGGCGAAAGCGCUUUGCUAGGCCGCAACUGACACUGAGGGACGAAAGCUAGGGGAGCGAAUGGG
rnacentral:rRNA from 1 species